GAAAUUCUACCCGGAAUCCUACAGAAAGUUGUGGCAGAUCACCUCUACAAUGUGCACUUGUCUAUCAGCAAUCAAGAUUCCUGCCCCUGGAGCUCUAUAAAACUGGGUAUGACCUGUGAGGACAAACCUGAGGAAGAGGACAUGAAGGAACCACUAAUCAAGUCAACUCUGGAGACUAAAAUAUUGUUAUAAAAGCCUACCAGCCCAUGGAUAGAGGAUUGUCUAUCAGAGGAACAAUUUUUAGAAUCUCAAGAGGAAGAGAAUACAUUAUUUUUAAAGCUUCAACAACCUACCUGCUGCAUCAGGAAGGUCAGAUUCUGAAAUGCUGGCUGGCAAUGCUCUGUGCCCUGCAGGUGAAAAUAUUGUACAAUGAAAUGGAAAAACACAGAUGGG